rnacentral:rRNA from 1 species
UACGAAGGGGGCUAGCGUUGCUCGGAAUCACUGGGCGUAAAGGGUGCGUAGGCGGGUUUUUAAGUCAGGGGUGAAAUCCUGGAGCUCAACUCCAGAACUGCCUUUGAUACUGAAGAUCUUGAGUCCGGGAGAGGUGAGUGGAACUGCGAGUGUAGAGGUGAAAUUCGUAGAUAUUCGCAAGAACACCAGUGGCGAAGGCGGCUCACUGGCCCGGUACUGACGCUGAGGCACGAAAGCGUGAGGAGCAAACAGG